rnacentral:rRNA from 1 species
CUGAAACCGUGUACGUACAAGCAGUGGGAGCACAGGUUUACCUGUGUGACUGCGUACCUUUUGUAUAAUGGGUCAGCGACUUAUAUUCUGUAGCAAGGUUAACCGAAUAGGGGAGCCGGAGGGAAACCGAGUCUUAAUUGGGCGUUAAGUUGCAGGGUAUAGACCCGAAACCCGGUGAUCUAGCCAUGGGCAGGUUGAAGGUUGGGUAACACUAACUGGAGGACCGAACCGACUAAUGUUGAAAAAUUAGCGGAUGACCUGUGGCUGGGGGUGAAAGGCCAAUCAAACCGGGAGAUAGCUGGUUCUCCCCGAAAGCUAUUUAGGUAGCGCCUCGUGAAUUCAUCUCCGGGGGUAGAGCACUGUUUCGGCUAGGGGGCCAUCCCGGCUUACCAACCCGAUGCAAACUGCGAAUACCGGAGAAUGUUAUCACGGGAGACACACGGCGGGUGCUAACGUCCGUCGUGAAGAGGGAAACAACCCAGACCGCCAGCUAAGGUCCCAAAGUCAUGGUUAAGUGGGAAACGAUGUGGGAAGGCCCAGACAGCCAGGAUGUUGGCUUAGAAGCAGCCAUCAUUUAAAGAAAGCGUAAUAGCUCACUGGUCGAGUCGGCCUGCGCGGAAGAUGUAACGGGGCUAAACCAUGCACCGAAGCUGCGGCAGCGAACGUAUCACCCAAGACAACUUUACGGAGUUGACGAUUGACGGAGCGAAGCGACGUCAAAGCGUUCAUUAAAGUCGAGUUGGCUUAGGGAUACGUUCGUUGGGUAGGGGAGCGUUCUGUAAGCCUGUGAAGGUGUGUCGUGAGGCAUGCUGGAGGUAUCAGAAGUGCGAAUGCUGACAUAAGUAACGAUAAAGCGGGUGAAAAGCCCGCUCGCCGGAAGACCAAGGGUUCCUGUCCAACGUUAAUCGGGGCAGGGUGAGUCGACCCCUAAGGCGAGGCCGAAAGGCGUAGUCGAUGGGAAACGGGUUAAUAUUCCCGUACUUGGUGUUACUGCGAAGGGGGGACGGAGAAGGCUAUGUUGGCCGGGCGACGGUUGUCCCGGUUUAAGCGUGUAGGUGUGUGUUCCAGGUAAAUCCGGUUCACUUUAACACUGAGGCGUGAUGACGAGGCACUACGGUGCUGAAGCAACAAAUGCCCUGCUUCCAGGAAAAGCCUCUAAGCAUCAGGUAACAUCAAAUCGUACCCCAAACCGACA